CUCGCGUAGCGUGUCAGUGUUGUUACGGCGGGCGCCCCCAGCCACGGGGAGGAGCACAAACUCAACUCGGGCGCGGCGGAUCGGCGUCGCGGAGCCCCCCUCGGCGGUGACGCCUCCAAGCCCCCGGCGUCGGCUGAUGCGGGAGGCGCCUCAUCGCGGGCUGGGCUUCCCCAUGACGAGGUCGGCAGUGACCGAUGCGGAUUCGUUCGGUCCUUCCCCCUCCCUCUGAUCGAAUUGAAGGAGAUUGCAUGUCAGAAAAAAGUGCACAUAGUGUGAAGCUUGCAAGAAGCAUACUGCAAACAGGAGAUGAACUUUUUUACCGGUGGGGAUGUCCACCAACCCUGGUUUCAGACUUUCAGUGAUAGAUUGGCUUAUACACGAAAUUUGACCAUAAGCAUGAAUCACUCGUGAUUCUUAAUGUUGCCACUUACAAAACAAUCUGAUGCUACUACAGUCUGCAAAAUGCAUCUGGUUUAUUUGUAGGGUAGGACUUAAGAGCAUGUAAUGUAGAAUAAGAGCAUUGACUUGAAGAGAGAAGAUUGGAAGGCCCUUAUUUAUCAUAACGUGGACAAUGAGAGCCAGAAUUUUCAGCGCCUCCUGGCAGCAGUCUCUCUCUGAGCAUUGAAGUAUACAGCAGAAACUGGGAGACCAAGGUUAUUUUCCUCAGCGAACUGGCGGGUAUUGAAAUGGUCCCUGAAGGAUGGCACAAUUACAGGCUUCCUGCGAUCCUGCUUGAAGAGUACAAAAAUGAACCUGUGGAUACCAAUGCUGGGCUUCGGGCUCUCAUAGCUUAUGACCUCUCGCCCUGGAAAUUUCAAAUGCAUAUGAUCAUUCAUUCAAAAGAUCAAGUGGGACAUGGAAUAGACCAAACACAAAUCAGAAGAAGAACCUACCGAAGGAAGCAUCUGUUGUCCCAGGUAUAUCAGUCACAAUCCUGUGAAUGUAAAGGGUAACAUUUAGCCACACCACUAUCACUAUAAGUGCUCAGAAAACAUGAUGUUUGUAUGUAUGCAAGAUGUGGUGCUAUCUUACUCAGUAGCAUAUUCUAUUGUCUAAUUAACUAGAAAUAACUUUACAUCCUGUAUAUAAGAAAUGAUGAAGAUUA